ACGAAGGGUGCAAGCGUUACUCGGAAUUACUGGGCGUAAAGCGUGCGUAGGUGGUUCGUUAAGUCUGAUGUGAAAGCCCUGGGCUCAACCUGGGAAUGGCAUUGGAUACUGGCGACCUAGAGUGCGGUAGAGGGUAGCGGAAUUCCCGGUGUAGUGAUGAAGUGCGUAGAGAUCGGGAGGAACACCUGUGGCGAAGGCGGCCACCUGGGCCGACCCUGACACUGAGGCGCGAAGGCGUGGGGAGCAAACAGGA
rnacentral:rRNA from 1 species